rnacentral:lncRNA from 1 species
UUUUGGCUGUAGAUACAUGGCGUCUGAUAAUUGCUCGUGGUUGAAGACUUUGACGACUUGGCUGGUGGUGCUUCCACUUCCGAUAUCGUAGUCGACGGUUCACUUUGAACGGGAUCCUGUUUCCGGUGUGUUUCCGGUGGGUCAGCCGAUUAGUGUUCCGUCGGUCACGCUUUGGCGGGAGUUGUGCGGUGGUGAUUCAGUUUCUAGGCACGUGUCC